AUUGAACGCUGGCGGCAGGCCUAACACAUGCAAGUCGAGCGGAUGAAGGGAGCUUGCUCCUGGAUUCAGCGGCGGACGGGUGAGUAAUGCCUAGGAAUCUGCCUGGUAGUGGGUGAUAACGUCCGGAAACGGGCGCUAAUACCGCAUACGUCCUGAGGGAGAAAGUGGGGGAUCUUCGGACCUCACGCUAUCAGAUGAGCCUAGGUCGGAUUAGCUAGUUGGUGGGGUAAAGGCCUACCAAGGCGACGAUCCGUAACUGGUCUGAGAGGAUGAUCAGUCACACUGGAACUGAGACACGGUCCAGACUCCUACGGGAGGCAGCAGUGGGGAAUAUUGGACAAUGGGCGAAAGCCUGAUCCAGCCAUGCCGCGUGUGUGAAGAAGGUCUUCGGAUUGUAAAGCACUUUAAGUUGGGAGGAAGGGCAGUAAGUUAAUACCUUGCUGUUUUGACGUUACCAACAGAGUAAGCACCGGCUAACUUCGUG
rnacentral:rRNA from 1 species